rnacentral:lncRNA from 1 species
AGAGGAUUUGGCUCUGUCACACCAUUCACUGCCUGCCCUUCUUCCCAGCGCUUCCAAGAUCUGGUUGUAUUAAACACGAGAAUGAAGAGAGGAAAACACCUUCGCCCACGGUGUGCUCUGGGGACAUCUCCAGGUGUGGGUGGUGGCGUCAGCCACAGGACAGACUCAGCUGGCAGAGAGGAGAAGCAGCGGGACAUCAGGACUAUGGCUGGACGUCAGAGAGAAGCAGCUUAACUUCAGAGGUGCAGCUUGAUGGUGUAACUUAGGAGAAGAAUCUGACUGGAGACGGCCAGACUUCAGAAGAAGAUGACCUACCCCCCCAUCCCCUUUUCAGCUUCCCUUCCCGCUGAGAGCCACUUUUAUUGGCAAUAAAAUCCUCCACAUUUACCACCUUUCAA